GGCCCAAUGGCACAGUGGUUAGUGCGCCUGUGUGCUGUAACAAAACAGGGUAUUGCUAGGCAGGAGACCCGCGUUCGAUCCGCGGUUGGGUCC